UACGUAGGGUGCAAGCGUUAAUCGGAAUUACUGGGCGUAAAGCGUGCGCAGGCGGUUGUGCAAGACCGAUGUGAAAUCCCCGGGCUUAACCUGGGAAUGGCAUUGGUGGCUGCACGGCUAGAGUGUGUCAGAGGGGGGUAGAAUUCCACGUGUAGCAGUGAAAUGCGUAGAGAUGUGGAGGAAUACCGAUGGCGAAGGCAGCCCCCUGGGAUAACACUGACGCUCAUGCACGAAAGCGUGGGGAGCAAGCAGG
rnacentral:rRNA from 1 species